rnacentral:rRNA from 1 species
GACGAACUGUGCGAACGUUGUUCGGAAUCACUGGGCUUAAAGGGUGCGUAGGCGGCGCGGUAAGGUCGGGUGUGAAAUCUCGGGGCUUAACUCCGAAACUGCAUUCGAUACUGCCGUGCUUGAGGACUGGAGAGGAGACUGGAAAUUUACGGUGUAGCGGUGAAAUGCGUAGAUAGUCGGGAAGAACAUCAGUGGCGAAGGCGGUCUGC